UGUUACAGUUCUGGGAAUAACGUGGCCGAAAUUAGGUGUUCCUUGCAACUGUUUAAUGGAAAUAUUUCGGAUUGGACAAUAAGCUGUUUUUCUACAUUUGUUAUUUAUAAUGAUACUAACCAGGAUUCUGAACAAACUAACUUAACAGGUUCAUACAAAGGUUGCAAAGCACAUCUUAUAGCAAAUCCAUAUUGCGAUCAAAAUCCUGGACAGGACAUAACGCGAGUAGCUUGUGUAGCUUGUAAUAGUACUCUAUGUAAUAAUCAAUGGUUCGAUGAUGCCGGAAACUUAAUAACCGAUGAUACGCAGGAAGAGAUUGAUGAUAAUAACGAUGAUGGGAGCAGUCUGGAAAGCCAAGAGCAUAUUUCAGAAGAACCACUGGAAGAAUUACCUGAAAGCGAUUACGAAACCGGUGAAAGCUAUUUAUUCGGCAUAACUAAAUAUUUUCAAAAAUUGAUUUUGCUUAUAUGUUUUAUCAAUUUAACCACUAAACCACCAAGAAUGGUCUAACGAAUAAAGAAUAUUUAGAAAGUGUCUGAAGAAGAUUGUUUUUUAAAGCAAUUUUAUUUUCAAUAAAAUCAAAAAAAUUGUCCCUUCGCAGUGAUUAAGAAACCAAAUAUUAUUACGUUAAUUUGAUUAUUUAUUAUUUAUUGUUGACUGAUUAAGAUACCAAUGCCAAACCAAAAAUUUCCGGUAACUUUGAAGUGAUGGUUUGAGUUUUAAAUUCAAGACUUGCUUAAUUGGAAUGAAGCAUAAACUUGUAUCGUUUAAAUACUUUACGAACUAUUAACUUUUAUUUAAACAUGCUAAUUUAAUUUUGACAGAUCUUUUGCAGAAGAUCUUAUCGCAGCCCCAAGGAAUCUGAAACAAGCAAAAAUUGAUUUUUGGGGGGAAUCUGAAGAACUUGAAAGUGAACUAAAACCACAACUUAUUAUGAACUAGAAAUAAUCAUUACAUUCGAACGUAAAGAAAUACAGAAUGAAUCAACAACUAUCAAUGCUGAUCAACUUGACCUUUUUUUUCAAUCAUAGUUUUUUCCGAAUUGUUUUGGCUACUUUGCUUGUAGAUUCUGACAUUUGCUUUUGGCUCUUAAUGAUAAAUAGGAGAUCUUUAGCAAAUUAAAACCUAAAAAUACUUUUUUAUUGGAUCAUAAUCUGUAACACUACAGUAAUUUAUUCUGUAGUUUAUGUCUGGUGGUUUGAUAAUAGAUUGAUAUAGACUUAAA